GGCUGGGGAGGAGGUAGGGCAGCUCCCAAAGGGGAAGCAGCCCGCUGUUUCUGUGCAGUGUGGCACAGGAUGCGUGAUUUCUGGAGCCGGAUAGAUUUGGGUCUGCACUUGAUUGGCAGUAGCUGGUGGACAGCAGCCCAGGUAGAGAUGGCACUUACCAAAGGAGCCAGGAGACCUGCGUGACAGUGAAGACAACACAAGCCCCUCCAAGAACCCUCAGAACCCUUCAGACCUCAGCAGAGGACGAUAGUGAUGAAGAUGGAGAAUCUUGGAAAGGAACUGAGGGGCAAAGAAUGGGCUGGGCAUGGCUUUGUGCCCAACACCAUGUGUCCUGGUCUGAGCAUCCAGGCCAAAGCUUGAUUUGCAUUCAUGCUGCGUCCCUGGUUGGUGAAGCUGGACUUGCUUAUCGUCCUGAUGAGACUGGCAAAAGCUCCAGACGAGGGGUGACAAUGAACGGGAAAACACUGCAGAGGGCAGGGAUGGGAGGGGAAGGCUCGGGGGAAUUACCCAGGGGUUUCAUGUCAUGCAUUUGUCUGUUCAUCAUCUCCAUUUGGGCAACAACAACUUAAGAGGAGCAAGCAGAGAGGUUCACAUUAUUUUAGUGACCCCUGAAAAAACUCCCACAUCUCUGCUGGGAAAUGUGUGCUUCCCCUCCAUGCAGCAUUUGUUUUAAAUAUUUAGCUUCCCCACACAGUGGCAAGCUCAUUUACCCAUUUCCUCUCUCUUUCUCCUUCUCUCCUCUCUCUCUCUCUCCCUUUCUCUGUGUCUCUCCCUAAUGAAAUCACUUUAGUCAGCACAAAUUUGAAGGCAGAACCAAACCCAGUAAUAGCAUAUCUCAGGCUGCUAUCAAUUUUCCGCCAGAAGAAUAUUUCAGGACACAAAGUCCUUUGUCUAUUUCCAGAAGCUCAAUUCAAUGACAUUACAUGAAUGACUACAACCCUAUAGCAUGUUCUGCACCGUUUCAAAUUGUAACCUAAAAAAAGGGAAUAACUUGGAUUGCGGCCAGAGUGUAAUGAUUUCAGUUCUUAAGAAAAUCCAGCAACCAUUACACCACAUUCAAUAUUUUCUUGCUGUGGAAAUUUAAGAAUUGACUCUAAUCAAAUAGCAAGCCCACCACCCCCAUCCUCCAUUUUCUUAUGGUUCCUGUUACUAACAGGCCUCCCACGUCUGUUUUGGCUUAAAAAAAUAAAUAAGUUUACAAUAUGUUUUUAAAAAUUGGGCUGAAUCAGACAAUUGUAUAUUUUAGAAAAUGAAGGCAAAAUGUAAAACAGGCUAAUCAUGAUUCCAAAUUCAAUCUUCAGGGCCCUAAUUGAUCCCAUCCCAAAGGUAACAUUCUAUCUUAAUUGACAUGCCGAGAUGGUUACAAUUAUGUAAAAUAAAACUGGGCCUGUUGGAAACUCCAUGUUUUCUCGUUGAACAGGAGAUGGCCAGCUUUUAUAAUAGUUGAUUGCAAAAGGAUGCGACCACUUUGCUCAUAUUUCCUAUUUUGGUUUGGCCCUUGUACAUGUGCAAUGAGGUUCCCCACCCUUCCAGUGAAGUAUGGACAUCAAGGGGGAUUUGAUGUCAUUAUAUUUUCCUUGGAACUGAAGGAGGCCUGAUAGAAAGGGUCAGCAUUUUCAAUGUCCAUUUUGGAAGUCAGUUAAAAAGAGAGAAUGGAAGAGAGAGAGGGGAUGAAAUCGAACAUUUUCCCAUUUGUUGGCAGAGGGAUAUGUCUGCGCGAUGGUGACCACACGCGCGAGCUCGUGCUCAGCCUUGAUAGGAAACAGAUGGCAGCGAGCGAGCACUGAGCACGCGGAGAUUAUAGAAUGCCGGGCCCACGGGAUGGACCCACAGCCCUUCUGUCUCUCUGCCGAGGGCACCCCGACUGGGAGGGCAGGGCUCCCUGGGGGCCAUACUGGAGGCUGAGGAAGACAGGAGACCUGUUUAUGCAAUCAGGAAAGGCAGAGGCUGCCUUCGAUGGGGUGGAACACCUGUGCCUCUUGGCAGCUUGCCUCCCCGGAUGGGUGAACCAAGGGAGCCUGGUGCGUGGUGGUUACUAUUAAUCACCCUCCUCCUGCCCAGCAGUGCCAGCCACAGGGGCAUCUUCUUCUCACGCACGGCGGCGGUGCUUACUCUCUACCUCCCGACAAGACAAUGUCAUUCUGUCAACAUCCACACUGGUCCUGCUUUAGUUUAGAGCGUCAGGUCUCUCCUGCAUGGUGGCAGUGGCUUUUCUGACUGGCCUCUCUGCCUCCAAUCCUGCUGCCUCCAAUUCACAAACCUGCCUAUGUGGCAGGUCUAAACCCUGCCAGGGCUCCCCAAGAACCUCAGAAAGGAGAACAACUGCUGUUACUUAUUUGUGUAAUUAUUUGUUUCAUGCCUCUUUGGCUGCCAGUUUACUCCUGGAUCCUUGGCAUCUAGCACAGUGCCAGGCCGUGUGUGUGGAGCCUUGGGGUAUUUUUGUUGAUUGAAUAAAAAUGCUCUUCCUUGGGCUUCCCUGGUGGCGCAGUGGUUGAGAGUCCGCCUGCCGAUGCAGGGGACACAGGUUCGUGCCCCGGUCUGGGAAGAUCCCGCAUGUCGUGGAGCGGCUGGGCCCGUGAGCCAUGGCCACUGAGCCUGCGUGUCCGGAGCCUGUGCUCCGCAACGGGAGAGGCCACAACAGUGAAAGGCCCGCACAGCGUAAAAAAAAAAAAAAAAAAAAAAAAAAAAUGCUCUUCCUUGAGCACUGAGGCCAACUCCCCAACCUAGAGAGCGUUAUAUACAAGUGUGCUCAUAUAUUCUUCUCUUAGCAAAAUAUCAGUGCUUUAGUUAACAUUUAUCACCUACUCUAGACCCAUAGAGACAAAGAACACAGUGAAAGAAGUACUCUUCAGGCUGACAGUAUAGUCUGGACACACUUAGCUCCUCUGGAAGGGCCUCGAACAGGAGCGGUCCGAUAAGCAAAGAAUAUUAUAUUUUGCUGUUACUUUUUGAAGACCCUCAAGACCUCAGGGUUGCAUGGGUCUUAAAUCACCUUGCUCAACAGAUUAAUUUUGCAGAAGAGGAAAAGGAACCCUGAAGAGGUUAUGUGACUUCCUAGGCGAUCAGUUGUCAGUUACAGGUAGGGCUGUGAUGAGCACCGGGGCUCCUAGCCUGAGGCUCUUGUACCUGUUGGGCUGGAGUCCCAGGUUAUUUGGGAAAUCAGCGAAAUCCCUCCACGGCAUCUCCUUUAAUUCCAUUUCACGUUUACACGCCUCCCCCCAUCCAUUUCCCAUUUAUAUGUUAUUUGUGCUCAAGGCCGCCACGGAAAACCCUGUUCCUGAGAAGCAGCCUGGGACAAAGGAAGGAGAGUCAAGCUUGGAGCCAGAACGACCUGGGCUUGAGUCUAGGCUCUGCUAUUUCCUUGCUUUGUGAACUUGAGCAAUUUACUUAGUUCUCUGGGCCUCAGUUUCCUCAUGAUAGCAACCUCACAGAGUUGUUGUGAAGAUUGAGUGAGAAAACAUAUGAAAAGCCUCUGCCAUGUUAUAGGAGCUUCAUAGAUAUUUAAUACAUUUUCCUUCCUACUCUUCUUGUACGCUACUGAAACUCACCCGUCCUGAGCUUCUGUGCCAUACUCCCCUCCAGGUUAUUCAUACCAUUGCAUGUCUGCCCUUCCUUCCUCCCUCUUUGUAUCUAUCCCAAGGUGACAUGUGCAUUUUUAAAAAAAUUUAUUGGAGUACAGUUGAUUUACAAUGUUGUGUUAGUUUCAGGUGUAUAGCAAAGUGAUUCAGUUAUACAUAUACAUAUAUUCAUUCUUUUUCAGAUUUUUUUCCCAUAUAGGUUAUUAUAGAAUAUUGAGUAGAGUUCCCUGUGCUAUGUAGGUCCUUGUUGAUUAUCUAUUUUAUAUAUAGUAAUAUGUGUAUGUU